AAGAAAAGAAAAAGACAAUAAUAAAUUAAUAAUUUUAUAAAAAUAAAGUGAUACCACCUACAAUGAUGAUUGAAAAAAAGAUAAGAAAAUUGAUUACCUUGCAGCAUGAUGUGGACCUUUUCUUUUUGAAAAGGGAUAAUUGUUUUGUGGAUGCAAAACGAAUUGUAACAAUUUUAUCACAGUAAGAUCUAAAUAUAUUUACGUUUAGACUCAAGCGGAAAAGUUUUUUUUUCCAAUAUUCAAAACUUUGCAAGUCUAUACUGUGUGUGCAUCACCUUUGCAGUUACCCUGACAGAUUCGCAGUGAUAAAUUUUCCAGUUUUUGCUUUUGUUAUUUGUAGUUUUGGUUAUCCUUUAAUAACAGCCCACUUUAUGGUAGUUAUCAUGUGUAGGAUGCUUGAUUUAUGAAUUACUUGUAAAAUUUCAGGCUGAACAUUGUUCUAUAGUGACAAAAUAUGCUGUUUCCUCUUAUUUUAUAUUUUAUUUUUUAUCGUUUAUUUCUUUAUUGUCAUGAAUUGAUUGUUUCCCCUCAUGUUUAUUUUCAAGGUUAUUCACCGUGAUAAUUUUCCAAAAUGUUUCUCUAGUCCCCCAGUAUAAUAAAUUCUUGAGCCCCCAUGUUGUGUUAUUCAAACAGGUAAUCAAAACUAAUUGCUAAAUUUGUCUAUUUUUAUAUUUUACGCUGUUGCAGAAGAAUCAGUAGUUAGGAUUGAUAAUUGAUAAGAAAACCUUAGUUUAUAUUUUUCAUUAAGGAUAGUUUAGUCCUUUAGGUUGUUAGUGUUUCAUUCUAUUAGAUUAGGGUUUUAUAUAUUUGUUCUCAGAUUGAUUAAUUGUAAGACAAAGUUUUCUUAUCAAUUAUCAUGGUAUCAGAGCCAAGUUACACAGGUUAGGAUUCCUUUCGCAGAUCAGCAUUGAUCAUCGCAGCCCCUGUUCUCUUCAUCGCACUUCGAAGCUCGAUCUCUCAACUGCUUCAUCUGGUUUGAUUGAAGCUCUCCACCUCUGGUUUGAUCAAAGCUCUCUACAUCUGGUUCGAUCGAUUCUCUGGUGACUUUGAUUGGAUGAUGGGAAUGAUUCGAAGUGUAUCAAAGUUUUCAACUUACAGGAGGAGAUUUAGGUGGAUGAGACUUAAAC